GUUGUGGAAAGUGGAUGGAGCGAAGGGCUCUUCGUAAAGAUGGUGUGUAGUAUUUUAGUAGUGACAUGCAAUUUUUGUAAUGGCAAAAUAUUUGCAAGAGAUGGCAAACAAAAGCAAAUGUGCAGUCGAUGUGUGGAAUGCGACAACAUUAUACUCGAUAAUUUCAAUUAUUGCGAGUGCUGUGGCUAUAAAAUGAAAAAUAAUACUUAUUACCAGAUAGAGAUGUCGAUAACGAAGAGUUGAAUGUUAGAACUUAUGAAAAUAUUAUUUACAACUCAUUUCGAGAAGCUGCUCAAGCUCCUUUUU